GCGGACGUAGCUCAGUUGGUAGAGCGCCAGGUUGUGGUCUUGGAUGUCGUGGGUUCGAAACCCAUCGUUCGCC
rnacentral:tRNA from 2 species